GAUGAAUACUAGGUGUAGGGGUUGUCAUGACCUCUGUGCCGCCGCUAACGCAUUAAGUAUUCCGCCUGGGGAGUACGGUCGCAAGAUUAAAACUCAAAGGAAUUGACGGGGGCCCGCACAAGUAGCGGAGCAUGUGGUUUAAUUCGAAGCAACGCGAAGAACCUUACCUAGACUUGACAUCUCCUGAAUUACCAUGUAAUGUGGGAAGUCCCUUCGGGGACAGGAAGACAGGUGGUGCAUGGUUGUCGUCAGCUCGUGUCGUGAGAUGUUGGGUUAAGUCCCGCAACGAGCGCAACCCUUAUUGUUAGUUGCUACCAUUUAGUUGAGCACUCUAGCGAGACUGCCCGGGUUAACCGGGAGGAAGGUGGGGAUGACGUCAAAUCAUCAUGCCCCUUAUGUCUAGGGCUACACACGUGCUACAAUGGCCGGUACAACGAGAUGCAAUACCGUGAGGUGGAGCAAAACUAUAAAACCGGUCUCAGUUCGGAUUGUAGGCUGAAACUCGCCUACAUGAAGCUGGAGUUACUAGUAAUCGCGAAUCAGAAUGUCGCGGUGAAUACGUUCCCGGGCCUUGUACACACCGCCCGUCACACCAUGAGAGUUGGCAAUACCCAAAGUUGGUGAUCUAACCCGUAAGGGAGGAAGCCACCUAAGGUAGGGUCAGCGAUUGGGGCG
rnacentral:rRNA from 1 species